rnacentral:rRNA from 1 species
ACCCCCGAAACUAAGUGAGCUACUUCGAGGCAGUUUUAAGAACGAACCCAUCUCUGUUGCAAAAGAGUGGGAUGACCCCCAAGUAGCGGCGACAAACCUACCGCACUUAGAGAUAGCUGGUUACUCAAGAAAAGAAUUUAAGUUCAACCUAAAGUUUUGUAAUUAAACAAAAAUACAAUAAAACUUUAGAGCUAUUCAAGUAAGGCACAGCUUAUUUGAAACAGGACUCA